UUUCUUUUUAUUGGCUGUGGUAAGAAUUUUUCAGGUUUGUGUGACAUCUUCCAUCCCAUUUGACCGAGGAAAACCAUGCAUGAGUCAAAGUUCUCCCAUGGACAAACGGCUCGACUUGAGGACAAGUCGCCUAAAAGAGGGGGGAAUGAUAUGAGCACGCCCCGUGAACUUCAUCGAGCAAGUCUGUCAAGCUGAGCAUUGACAUGUUGGCAAGCUGAUCCCAGCUCGUUUCCAGCUCCACGAGCUCCGUCUAGCUCAAAUCCAGCUUAUUCAAGCUCGAUCCAACUUGCCUGAG
rnacentral:lncRNA from 1 species